CGGUUACAUCAUUUUGAAACACCGGUUCUUGUACGAUCGCCGAAGUUAAGCAAUGGUGAGCUUGGUCCGUACCUUGAUAGGUGACCGCUUGGAAAUUCCUAGUGCUGUAA